GUUGAUCUUGGAGGGAAGCUUCCGACCAGCGAUGAGAUGGAACGCGGGCGACUGGUGAGUAGCUCGUCUUUGCCGGCCCCAUACUGAGGGUUAUUCGCGUGAAACGGUUUUUAAAACGGCUUAAUGCGGCUGAUUCACAUGUUUCCUUCGGUUGCAUUUACGUGUAUGGGAUGUGCCUGCGUCUGAUUAGCUCGCUGGUGGGGUAACGGGCUACCAAGGUAACGGUCAGUAUUCGAUGUGAUAGGGUCGCCGGCCGCGUUGGAACUGAGACACGGUCCAAACUCAUACGGGAGGCAGCAGUGGGGAAUAUUGCACAAUGGGCGAAAGCCUGAUGCAGCAACGCCGCGUGAGCGAUGAAGGCCUUUGGGUCGUAAAGCUCUGUCCUUGGGGAAGA
rnacentral:rRNA from 1 species